UCUCCUCUAUUGAGAAUUCUCUAUUUUGUUCUGUACCCCAGUUUUUUCUGUUCCUUCUUCCACAAGGUUUGUUGAGCCUUACAGAGGCUGAUAAAUGUGUUCCACUUAUGGCUUAUUCAUACAAUAGUCACUUAUUCUCUGUAUUUAACCAGUUAUGAGUCUCUGUAGUCACUGCUGACUACUGUAGAAGUUUGACAGGUACAACAGUGUGCAUUUAGCAAAAGGACAACGAUUUAGCAAAAGGACAACAGUGUUAUCUCUUUUAGGGCCCGUGGCCUCUUUUACCACUGGUUUUUUUUUUUUUUUGGACUAGGUUUACAGUACGAGAUGUGAAUUCCUUCCUGUGAAGCAGGCCUCAAGGUCAAAAUAAGAAAGUGUUUGGUUACAUCUAUAAUGAGCUUGUCAUUAUUGCACCAGCAGAAUCCUCUUUUCUGGUGGGGUCAGCAGUGUAGCAUGCAAAGGCCACAGUUAUUGUGUGACUGUUGGUGAAGAACAUGAGUGUAAAUGUAUGCACAUGACCUGAAGAACACAGAAGAGGACAUCAGGUAUCCUCCUCUAUCACCCUGUGCUUCUUGCCUUGGCAGAGUCUCUCAAUGAACAAGAAGCUUGCUGUGUCUACUAGGCUGGACUGCAAGAUCCUAAGAUCUGCCUGUCUUAGUUAGGUUUUCUAUUGCUGCGAAGAGAGACACCAUGACCAUGGUAACGUUUAUAAAGGAAAACAUUUACUUGGAUGACUUGCAGUUUCAGAGGUUUAGUACAGUAUCAUCACGGCAGGACAUGUUGGCAUGAAGGUAGUCAUGGUGUUGGAGAAGAAGCUGAGAGUUAAUAUGUCUUGAUCUACAGGUUAACAGGAAGUGAACUGCACUGGGCAUAGCUGGAGCAUAGGAGACUCCAAAGUCCAUCCCCACAGUGACACACUUCCUCCACCAAGGCCACACCUACUUUGACAAGGUCAAACCUCCUCACAGUGCCACUCCCUGUGAGCUUAUGUGGACCAAUUACAUUCAAAUUACCACAUUGCCCAUCUCCAUACUCUAAUGUUUGUGUGACAGGCACUCACUGCCUUGUUCAGCUUUUUGCAUUGGUGCUGGGCUUUCAAAUGUAGGUCCUCAUGUAUGCCCAGUAAGUGCUCUCUCUCACUGAACUAUCCAUUCGGCCCCUAUGUUUGAAUUUUUGUAUCACUGAAUGGGAGCAAAGCAACGGUGUUGUCUAAGUCUUAUUGUGAACAGAACAAAUGAAAAAAAUGUGUUAAUAACUGAGCAAAUUUGACUACGUACUAGGUGUUAGCCAACAUUAGGAAUUCAUUGUAAUUGGCUGAAUUUUUCAUUUAAAAUGUUAUAUAGGAAAAUAUUAUGAUGUAAGGGUUGGAUAUUAUUAUGUCUUUUAAACAAAUCUGUGCAACACAAAUGACAAAAUGAUAUACAGACAUUUCUUAUUUUCAACUCUACUUUUCUGAAUAUUUGAAAUUUUUCAUAGUAAAAAUUACAAAUACAAGGCAAAAGGAAAGGAGAGAAGAGACAAACUAUUAGCAUUUUGUUAAGAAGCAAACAAAACAAUGGAUACAGAACUGCAUAGCAGGAUGGAGGCCUGACUUCUGUCAUGUGCCUGGUUACACACGAGCCAUCCCUACCAUUGCCUGAAACAAAAGACUGGCAAAUGAAUUGUUGAUAAGCAUGUGAACUCGUAGAUUAUUUAUAUCUGACAUGAAUCCAAAACUGUAAAAGCACUUUGGAAAAUUGCUCAGAAUCUUCUAAAUCUAUGUGUAGUCAAGCAAUUUCACUCCUGGUUAUACACAAGCAAAUUAGUGUGCACAUCUACAAAAACAUACAGAAAAAUAUUCAUAGCAGUUUAUUAAUAACAGCACAAAACUGCAAGUAGCCAGAUGCUGUUCAAAAGUAAAUGGAUAGACAGAUAAUAGUGUGUUUAUUGAAAUGUACUCCAAUUAAAAAGAUGAAUUCUUUUACAUGCAACAACAAGGAUGAAACUCCUUGGUCAUAGGUUAACCAGACAAAGACAUAUUUAUUUUGCGAAUCUACAUGAAAUUAAAGAAUACGUAAAACUACCCAAUGGUAGUAGAUGAAGGAUAGUAGGAUACUGGAAAAGCUACCUUUAAGAGUUUAUUUUAGUUUCAGUUAUAAGUAUGUGUGUGGUUAUAUGCACAUAUAUGUAUGCAGGAACCUACAGAGGCCAGAGAUCCUCUGGAGCUGGAGUUAUAUGUGGUUGUGAGCCAUAUGACAUGGAUGUUGGGAACUGAACUGAAGUCCUCUUGAAGAAUAUGCAAAGUAUUAGUCAUUGAGCCCCCAAAUAGUCUUGAUAUUUAGUAGGCAUAUAUAUAUAUGUAUAUAUGUGUGUGAUAUUCUAUAUGAUAUAUAGAAUUGGAAUUGAAAAAUAGUUUGAAUAUAAAAAAGUACAUAAAGAACAUCCUCCAUACCUCCGUAUCUGUUAAAGUGUGAUUAUAUAUAUAUACACACAUAUAUAUAAUACAUAGAAUACAUAAAAAAUUAGUUUCCACAUGCUAGGAAGGAAGUGCAAGCAAGAAAAUGUAAAUAGUUUAAUUAAUUAUAAAAUUAAACAAAAUUCAUAUAGUUAAAUUCCAGUUUUUGCCAAAACAAUGUUCUAUUUUAAAGUUGUGCCCCAUGUUAUUUUUUGCUCCAGUUAAGCAAAGAAUGAAGUUCAGAUACUUUUGAAGUAAAUUUUAUGCAUUUUGGACUGUAUUGACAUAAUCUUAUUCUCAUGACAAUGCUCGCUCUUGCAUUUAUGGUGGAUAAAUUGCAUAUAUCUAUUAAUUUACAAUCAUCCAGAUUUUCAUACAGUCAUUGGUUGAAUGCCUUACAUAUGCCAAAUGCAUUGUUAGGUACCGGUAAACAAAUUUAACUAAUGUGUUAUCUCUUUAUAAUUUUACAAUUUAGAAAAACUCAAUUAUGGCAUGACUGCUUGAGUUCUAUCAGAUGCCACUUCUAAUCAAAAGGCAAAACAAUGAUCAUGCAUCAAAAGAGCAUGCAAGUCCAUUCUCAGCUACAUGCAAUGUGUAUUGAAUCUGUCUACCUCUGCCCUCAGAAGCAUCCACCAAGCUUCUAAACGUUAGAUAUUUUAGGUCAAAUGAUUUUGAAAUUUAAUAUAAAACUCUGAAUUUCAGAUUGUCUACAUGCAUAUUAAACAGGAUCACUUGAAAAGAGUUGGAGCUGCAAAUUGUUAAAUAGUUUUAUACUACCCAAACUUCGUUGGAAAUGUAGGCAUUGCAGAUGUUAUCCUAUAAAGUGAUUGUUUUGUGUUGCCUGUGUAAUACAUAGUGUGUCUUCUAUAACUUUUCUCCUUCUGCAGUAAAUAAUCACUUGGUGAAUAAAAUAUUCAUGUCUC